GGCUCUGUAGCUCAGCUAGUAGAGCGUGCGCUGUACAAAGCAUAGGCGGCGUUUAUGUGUGGGUUUGAAUCCCACCGGGGCUA
rnacentral:tRNA from 1 species